GGCUAGCCGCCCCGGUAAUAUUGAAGGUCUAAGGGUUAAUCGGAAUCACUGGGCGUAAAGCGCUCGUAGGUGGCUUUGUAAGUCAGAUGUGAAAGCCCACGGCUCAACCGUGGAAUUGCAUUUGAUACUGCAUCGCUAGAGUAUAGGAGAGGGAAGUGGAAUUGCUGGUGUAGGAGCGAAAUCCGUAGAGAUCAGAAGGAACACCGGUGGCGAAGGCGACUUCCUGGACUAUUACUGACACUGAGGAGCGAAAGCGUGGGGAGCAAACAGGAUUAGAUA
rnacentral:rRNA from 1 species